GGGCCUGUAACUCGGCGCUGUCCUGCCCAUAUGCAGUGGUCGCAUUUACAAGGUCGCCUCGGUUUGGCAUUGAGUUUACUCACGAUUUCACCAGACUACGAAUCUGAGGGUCAGAGGUUCGAAUCCUUUCGGGCGCGCCA
rnacentral:tRNA from 1 species